rnacentral:rRNA from 1 species
GUCUGACGGAGCAACGCCGCGUGAACGAUGAAGGCCUUCGGGUCGUAAAGUUCUGUUGUUAGGGAAGAACAAGUACCAGAGUAACUGCUGGUACCUUGACGGUACCUAACCAGAAAGCCACGGCUAACUACGUGCCAGCAGCCGCGGUAAUACGUAGGUGGCAAGCGUUGUCCGGAAUUAUUGGGCGUAAAGCGCUCGCAGGCGGUUUCUUAAGUCUGAUGUGAAAGCCCACGGCUCAACCGUGGAGGGUCAUUGGAAACUGGGGAACUUGAGUGCAGAAGAGGAGAGUGGAAUUCCACGUGUAGCGGUGAAAUGCGUAGAGAUGUGGAGGAACACCAGUGGCGAAGGCGACUCUCUGGUCUGUAACUGACGCUGAGGAGCGAAAGCGUGGGGAGCGAACAGGAUUAGAUACCCUGGUAGUCCACGCCGUAAACGAUGAGUGCUAAGUGUUAGAGGGUUUCCGCCCUUUAGUGCUGCAGCAAACGCAUUAAGCACUCCGCCUGGGGAGUACGGUCGCAAGACUGAAACUCAAAGGAAUUGACGGGGGCCCGCACAAGCGGUGGAGCAUGUGGUUUAAUUCGAAGCAACGCGAAGAACCUUACCAGGUCUUGACAUCCCACUGCCCGGUAUAGAGAUAUACCUUUCCCUUCGGGGACAGUGGUGACAGGUGGUGCAUGGUUGUCGUCAGCUCGUGUCGUGAGAUGUUGGGUUAAGUCCCGCAACGAGCGCAACCCUUGAUCUUAGUUGCCAGCAUUCAGUUGGGCACUCUAAGGUGACUGCCGGUGACAAACCGGAGGAAGGUGGGGAUGACGUCAAAUCAUCAUGCCCCUUAUGACCUGG